CCCAGCUUGAGCAAUAUAGAAUGAUGCAGAAGGCAUGUCAGAGGCUUAGUAAAAACAUCUGCGAGCUGAGAUGCAGUAGGAACAUGAUGCAAGGCAAUAAGGCCCUCAUGAAGCUUGGUUCUGAUGAAGUUGCAUUUGCAAAGAAGCUUAGUAAAAACAUCUGCGAGCUGAGAUGCAGUAGGAACAUGAUGCAAGGCAAUAAGGCCCUCAUGAAGCUUGGUUCUGAUGAAGUGGCAAUCCACUUCAAUGCGUUUGUACGCUCAUGAAACACAGGAUUCUUGGCUAUGUGAAGUGCUGCCUGAUUAUCACAAAAAAAAAGGCACAGCAGUGGUAACAAGAACACUAAAAUCAGACAGAAGUCGAACAAGCCAGGUGAGCUCAUCAACAACUUUACUCCUGGCCCUGUACUUAGCCUCAGCAGAAGACAGGGACACCACAGGCUGCAUCUUAGCCUUCCAACCAAUAAGAGAGCCACCCAAUAGAAUGCAAAAGCCAGAAACAGAUCUCCUAGUGUCCGGGCAGGAAGCCCAGUCACUAUCACAAUAGGCAGACAAGGAGAGAUCAGGGGUGUUGCUGAUGAAGACCCCAACUUCAAAAGUUCCUCUAAGAUAUCUGAGUGUAUGCAAAGCU
rnacentral:lncRNA from 1 species